UCACAUAACUGAUAAGUUUACAUGCUAUCAGUAGACUGAUAACCUCUUGAAACUCUUGUUUCUGCAUUUUAUUAUUUUCCAAGUAUUGAAAAUUUUGUAGGUUUACCUUCUUAUAUACACAGGAUUUUGGAACCAGGCCAAACAACAAACAAGUAUCAUUUCUUUGUUUAGUUGGGUUGGGUCAUGUGAUCUUGCUUUUACACUACUUUUCUUUUGCUCCAUGAUUUGAUUAUGAAGCUCCAUCAACUUUUUCUGGGUCAAUUAUUUCUGAUAACAUACUCAUGCAACAAUUAAAAGCUUGUGCUCAGCUCACACCAGAUGAUUGCAACUUUAGAAGAAUCCAGUCUCUGUGCAUUUAUAACCAUACAAGUAUGACAAGUCCAAGGACAUGGAUUAAAGUAGUGGAUUGAAGGGCUUUUGGGAGUUAGUUCACAUGCAUGAAUAAUAGAAAUGCAUGAAGAUAAAGAGCAACAGCGUUGCAGUAGCAGAAAGGACGUUGCAUAUGUUGGCCCUCUGAUGAAGUGACAGUUACAUCACAUGCAAUGGUGGCUUCCUCUCUGUUUUCUCUUAACUUUGAUAUAUAUGCUCAUAUGGGGAUGUGUUCCUUCCUAGUAGGCACUCACGUGAGCUCUUGCCUGCCUUCCAUUAUUGUUGUUGUUUUGGGAUGUUCUGCAUAUAUUACUCUUGUGUAUAUCUCAUAACAAUCAUAUUUGUUUAAUUUGUUUGUGGAUGUACCCAACACUAACCA